rnacentral:tRNA from 1 species
AGAAAAUAGUAUAGUGGAAGUACAGAGGGUUUUGAGCUCUUUGGCGCAGGUUCAGGUCCUGUUUUUCUA